rnacentral:rRNA from 1 species
GACGAACGCUGGCGGCGUGCUUAACACAUGCAAGUCGAGCGGUAAGGCCCUUUCGGGGGUACACGAGCGGCGAACGGGUGAGUAACACGUGGGUGACCUGCCCUCAGCUCUGGGAUAAGCCUGGGAAACCGGGUCUAAUACUGGAUAUGACUCCAUGACGCAUGUUGUGGGGUGGAAAGCCUUGUGCGGCUGAGGAUGGGCCCGCGGCCUAUCAGCUUGUUGGUGGGGUGANGGCCUACCAAGGCGACGACGGGUAGCCGGCCUGAGAGGGCGACCGGCCACACUGGGACUGAGACACGGCCCAGACUCCUACGGGAGGCAGCAGUGGGAAUCUUGCGCAAUGGGCGAAAGCCUGACGCAGCGACGCCGCGUGAGGGAUGACGGCCUC